rnacentral:misc_RNA from 1 species
GAUGAAGAACGUAGCAAAAUGCGAUUCUUGGUGUGAAUUGCAGAAUCCCGUGAACCAUCGAGUUUUUGAACGCAAGUUGCGCCCGAAGCCUUUUGGCCGAGGGCACGUCUGCCUGGGCGUCACGCAUCGCGUCGCCCCCCACAAUUCUCCGUAAAGGGAACAUGUGUUUUGGGGGCGGAUAUUGGUCUCCCGUGCUCAUGGCGUGGUUGGCCGAAAUAGGAGUCCUUUCGAUGGACGCACGAACUAGUGGUGGUCGUAAAAACCCUCGUCUUUUGUUUCGUGCUGUUGCUCGCAAGGUAAACUCUUUAAAAACCCCAAUGUGUCGUCUCUUGACGACGCUUCGACCGCGACCCCAGGUCAGGCGGGACUACCCGCUGAGUUUAAGCAUAUCAAUAAGCGGAGGA